rnacentral:rRNA from 1 species
UUGAUCCUGGCUCACAUUGAACGCUGGCGGCAUGCCUUACACAUGCAAGUCGAACGGUAACAGGUCUUCGGAUGCUGACGAGUGGCGAACGGGUGAGUAAUACAUCGGAACGUGCCCGAUCGUGGGGGAUAACGAAGCGAAAGCUUUGCUAAUACCGCAUAAGAUCUACGGAUGAAAGCAGGGGACCGCAGGGCCUUGCACGAACGGAGCGGCCGAUGGCAGAUUACGUAGUUGGUGGGAUAAGAGCUUACCAAGCCGACGAUCUGUAGCUGGUCUGAGAGGACGACCAGCCACACUGGGACUGAGACACGGCCCAGACUCCUACGGGAGGCAGCAGUGGGGAAUUUUGGACAAUGGGCGAAAGCCUGAUCCAGCCAUGCCGCGUGCAGGAUGAAGGCCUUCGGGUUGUAAACUGCUUUUGUACGGAACGAAAAGACUCUGGUUAAUACCUGGGGUCCAUGACGGUACCGUAAGA